CCUACGGGUGGCAGCAGUAGGGAAUCUUCCACAAUGGACGAAAGUCUGAUGGAGCAACGCCGCGUGAGUGAAGAAGGGUUUCGGCUCGUAAAGCUCUGUUGGUAGUGAAGAAAGAUAGAGGUAGUAACUGGCCUUUAUUUGACGGUAAUUACUUAGAUAGUCACGGCUAACUACGUCCCAGCAGCCGCGGUAAUACGUAGGUGGCAAGCGUUGUCCUGUUUUAUUGGGCGUAAAGCGAGUGCAGGCGGUUCAAUAAGUCUGAUGUGAAAGGCUUCGGCUCAACCGGAGAAUUGCAUCAGAGACUGGUGAACUUGAGUGUAGAAGAGGAGAGUGGAACGCGAGGUGUAGCGGUGGAAUGCAUAGAUAUAAGGAAGAACACCGAUUGCGAAGGCGGCUCUCUGGUCUGCAACUGACGCUGAGGCUCGAAAGCAUGGGUAGCGAACAGGAUUAGAUACCCUUGUAGUC
rnacentral:rRNA from 1 species